rnacentral:misc_RNA from 1 species
CUCCUGAACCUUCCUCCCGGAUCUUGUACAGUUUUCCAUACAUGACAUAUUCAUAUUUGCCAGCUAUGGAUCCUUGCUUGCCCCUGUCAUAGUAACCAGUAUCACCUGUUCCAUCAGCAUGAAGAGUGGCAGUUGUUAGCAAUGCAUACUUCUCUUCUUCUUUAAUGGGAUAAAUCUUCGUAUUCACAUCUAGCUGCAUGAAC